AUCUGGCCUCGAAUCAGGUGGGAUUACCCGCUGAACUUAAGCAUAUCAAUAAGCGGAGGAAAAGAAACUAACAAGGAUUCCCCUAGUAACGGCGAGUGAA
rnacentral:rRNA from 1 species